GACGAACGCUGGCGGCGUGCCUAAUACAUGCAAGUCGAGCGGACGAAUCGAAAGCUUGCUUUUGAUUCGUUAGCGGCGGACGGGUGAGUAACACGUGGGCAACCCGCCCUGUAGACGGGGAUAACACCGAGAAAUCGGUGCUAAUACCGGAUAACACGAAAUGUCGCAUGACGUUUCGUUGAAAGACGGCGCAAGCUGUCGCUACAGGAUGGGCCCGCGGCGCAUUAGCUAGUUGGUGAGGUAACGGCUCACCAAGGCGACGAUGCGUAGCCGACCUGAGAGGGUGAUCGGCCACACUGGGACUGAGACACGGCCCAGACUCCUACGGGAGGCAGCAGUAGGGAAUCUUCCGCAAUGGACGAAAGUCUGACGGAGCAACGCCGCGUGAGCGAAGAAGGCCUUCGGGUCGUAAAGCUCUGUUGUUAGGGAAGAACAAGUAACGCAGUAACUGGCGUUACCGUGACGGUA
rnacentral:rRNA from 1 species